GAGUAAAAAGAAUAAACGCAUAUAUUUUGAGUAAUAUGGUCGUAUAACCCCUGAUCAAGGGAGCUUGAACCAAUAUUGUCUGAACUAGUCAUCAAGGUCGUCGUCGUCUUCGGACGUGGAUACUCUAUUUAAUUUUGCUGCCUAGUUGUGUCGUCCCUGACAACAUAAGUGGGAACAGGAACCUGGUGCUACGUUAUAGAUUAGUUAAUAUACUAACUAGCUAAUAAUAACAAUCAAAACAGCGAAAUUGUUAACGUGUUCGGACGUGGUUACUCAUGAAUUUUCCCAUAAUAACCAUGCCUCCAAAGAAGAUUCUUAAAACGAGCUACAUAAAGCAUCAGGCAGCAUCUGCUGCUCGAGAUCAACUCCAAGAAAUUCUUAAUGCUUCACAAGAGGAAGCUAUCAAUAAUGAAAUUCAUAUUGAAAAUCCUCGAGCACAUAUUCAAUUUGGAACUGAGUUGUUUCUCCAAAACGGCGACAACUAUGAUUUUGCGGUAUCCCAUUUUAGUGUUGUAGCUGGGAGAGGGGUACACGAAGGAGAAAUGGCUAAGUAUAUGUAAGAAGAUUUUCUCUCCUGAGGUUGCAUCACAACUGAAUUGGACAGGGACAGAGAUAAAAAAAGGAAUCAAGUCACUAAAGUGUGAUGCAUGUGGCAAACAAUAUAAAGGAAAUUUUUCGAGAUCAAAAGUCACAGACUCCAUAAGUACGUGGCUUCGAAGUAAUUCAAAGAGGAGAGCCAUAAAUAAUGUUGAUUUGCCAAAAUAAUAAAGAUUUUUCAAAGGUUAAUUACCUCCCCUAUAGGUGACAAGAGGUAACAACGAAAGCGGGACUAUAUACACGAGUGGUUAUAACCAAGAUGGAGUCGAUAUUCGCACGGCUAUCCGUAAAUGCAGCGCAGAAGCAUUUUAUUUUAUUUUUUAUCGCAAAAGUUCGUAAAAAAAAUCGAAAUAGAUUAUUUCCAAUUAUGUUCCCAAUUAUGUUUGACAUGUAAGAAUGCUUAUCAAUUAACUAUCAAUGGUUAAAUGCCAUAAAAAUUUCAACCAAUUUGUAACAAAUCAGUAUUAAAAUACAUA